AGAGUUUGAUCAUGGCUCAGGAUGAACGCUGGCGGCGUGCCUAAUACAUGCAAGUCGAGCGAAUGGAUUGAGAGCUUGCUCUCAAGAAGUUAGCGGCGGACGGGUGAGUAACACGUGGGUAACCUGCCCAUAAGACUGGGAUAACUCCGGGAAACCGGGGCUAAUACCGGAUAACAUUUUGAACUGCAUGGUUCGAAAUUGAAAGGCGGCUUCGGCUGUCACUUAUGGAUGGACCCGCGUCGCAUUAGCUAGUUGGUGAGGUAACGGCUCACCAAGGCAACGAUGCGUAGCCGACCUGAGAGGGUGAUCGGCCACACUGGGACUGAGACACGGCCCAGACUCCUACGGGAGGCAGCAGUAGGGAAUCUUCCGCAAUGGACGAAAGUCUGACGGAGCAACGCCGCGUGAGUGAUGAAGGCUUUCGGGUCGUAAAACUCUGUUGUUAGGGAAGAACAAGUGCUAGUUGAAUAAGCUGGCACCUUGACGGUACCUAACCAGAAAGCCACGGCUAACUACGUGCCAGCAGCCGCGGUAAUAC
rnacentral:rRNA from 1 species